AGCUGGGGAGAAUUGGAUGUAACUUUUUCUAUAGAUGUCCGUGGAUAUAUUAUUUACCUGAUUCUGAGUCCGUAUG
rnacentral:rRNA from 1 species